GUGUGUGUGUGUGUGUGUGUGUGUGUGUGUGUGUGUGUGUGUGUGUCUCAUUUAUUUUUUUUAUUAUGUAUAUUUUUUUUGUUUUUGUAUAAUUUUUGCUUAUUUUUUUUUUCCUUUCAUUUUUUCUUUCUUUGCUUAUUUUGUAAUUUGUUUGUAUUUCCUUGUGUCUCUGAAUGUUGUUAAAGAGAGGUGCAUUGUGAGUAAAGCAUCAUUUUCUCUUUCCUUUCCUCAUUUCUUUACUUUUUCCUCUUAUUCCUUCCUUUCUGUCAUCAUUACAAACCCUUUCUAUUCAUUACAAACCCUUUCUCUCAUUUUCCUUACCAUAAACCAUCAAAACAUCUUAACAAUCUCAUUUAAAUCACUUUUCUUUUCAUUAUCAUCUGUUUGUUUACAUUCUCUUGCUUUCUUUCACUUAUUAAUUCAUUACACUCCUGUUUGUGUGUUUAGGAAUGUUUUGAGAUAUUUUGGGGUGUUUUGGAGGUGUUUUGGGGUGUUUUUUCAAGUGUUUUGAGGUAAAUUGUCUGUUUUUGGGUAUAUUUGUCUGUUUUUGUCUGUUUUUUGGGUAUUAUUGGGGUUUUGGAGGUGUUUUGGGGGUGUUUUUGCAUGUGUUUUGAGGUAAAUUGUCUUUUUUGGGUAUUUUUUGGGUUUUGGAGAUGUUUUGGGGGUGAUUUUGCAAGUGUUUUGAGGUAAAUUGUCUUUUUUGGGUAUUAUUGGGGUUUUGGAGGUGUUUUUUCAAGUGUUUUGAGGUAAAUUGUCUUUUUUUGGGUAUUAUUGGGGUUUUGGAGGUGUUUUGGGGGUGUUUUUUCAAGUGUUUUGAGGUAAAUUGUCUGUUUUUGGAUGUUUAAUGGUGUUUUUGGAGUGUUUUGCAAGUUUUUGAGGUAAAUAGUGUGUUUUGGGGUGUUUAAUGGUGUUUUGAGAGUGUUUUGCAAGUGUUUUGAGGUAAAUAGUGUGUUUUGGGGUGUUUAAUUUUGUUUUGGGAGUGUUUUGCAAGUGUUUUGAGGUAAAUAGUUUGUUUUGGGGUGUUUAAUGGUGUCUUGGUGGUGUUUCAGGGUUAUAUAGGGGUGUUUGGGGGUGAUCUAGGGUAAGUAGUGUUAUCAAGGCUGUAGUGGAAGUUACUGUGGGUUUUCAAAGGGUGUUUCCAUGGUGAUUCACUUGUAUUUUAUCCCUUGUACAGUAAAACUCCCUUUCCCUGAGUUGGCAACACUGUUUGUUUACGUUCGCUGUUGUCUCGUCGUGUGUGAGUCAGAUUUGUGUCUUGUUCUUCCACUGCAGGGCAGAAGGAGGAGGGACAUCGGUGCCAGUUUGACCGAGGCUUGGGAGGUGAUCAAUCCUAGGGCUCUGUUCUCCGUCAGCUGUGUCAAGGGCCUGGGCAGAGAAGCCUGGAGUUAACGCUGAUCUUCGCGACCCACCACAAGCAUAGUUACGACUCGUUGGCGCAGGACCGCAAGUUUUCCUUCCUGGGCCUGGUCAUGGCAGUUACACAGAGAGGGUUUAUGCGAAGUGUUAAGACUGGAACUGAAAAAGCAACUGCCAAUUAGGCACACACCUACAUUGUGAUGCAGCUCCUUGGAGGUGGAGAGCUGGCUGCCUCAGAGGAUCAGGAAACACGAGAGGUUCACAGAGGCUCGCCUCGGGCUUCGGUCGUCGUGAGGAACCUGGUGUCAGCAGUUCACUACGUGCACAGGAAAAGCAUCAGUGUUCACGGAGACCUAAAGCCAGACAGGGGUGAAAAGGGUUGGUGUUGAGGAUAGACAGAAAAGAAAAGAAAGGAAAGGUAAAAAAAGGAAGUUUUUUUGCAUUGAUUUUCCAUCUGCUUAUUUUAAAGAAUUUAUUGCAUGGAAUAUUAUUGAUCUCCAUCAUUUGUAUGGCCUUUAUAAUAAAAAGUAUGAAUUUA